CUAAUAAAGUUUAACUAAAGUGGCCAUGCAUAUCCAGAAACAGUUUGGAGCAAAACUGAAUGUCUAGCAUUAAAAAUCUAACUAAAGUGACCAUAGCAAUAUUAAUAAAAACAGUUGGAGCAAACUGAAAGUCAAUUAAUAAAGUUUAAUUAAAGUGACCAUUGCAAUAUCCAGAAAACCAGUUUGGAUGAAAACUGAAUGUCUAGCAUAAGGUGUCUAACUAGAGGGACCAUAGCAAUAUUAAUAAAAUAACAGUUUGGA